rnacentral:rRNA from 1 species
UACAGAGGUCUCAAGCGUUGUUCGGAUUCAUUGGGCGUAAAGGGUGCGUAGGCGGCGCGGUAAGUCGGGUGUGAAAUCUCGGGGCUUAACUCCGAAACUGCAUUCGAUACUGCCGUGCUUGAGGACUGGAGAGGAGACUGGAAUUUACGGUGUAGCGGUGAAAUGCGUAGAUAUCAGGAGGAACACCGGUGGCGAAGGCGGGACUCUGGGCCGAUACUGACGCUGAGGAGCGAAAGCGUGGGGAGCAAACAGG